CCAGUCCUGACGGAUGAGCAGAAGUCCCGAAUCCAGGCCAUGAAGCCCAUGACCAAGGAGGAGUGGGAUGCCCGGCAGAGCAUCAUCCGCAAGGUGGUGGACCCCGAGACGGGGCGCACCAGGCUUAUUAAGGGAGAUGGCGAGGUCCUAGAGGAAAUCGUAACCAAAGAACGACACAGAGAGAUCAACAAGGUGGGUGUGGCCCCUCUGCCUGCCAUCCGCCCCCAGCUCUGUUUGUGAUGUACCCCUCCUCCUGUGUGCUUUCUUCCCCAGCAAGCCACCCGAGGGGACGGCCUGGCCUUCCAGAUGCGAGCUGGGUUGCUUCCCUGAGGGCCCCCGUUGGCCAAGGCCUGUGGACGGUGCUGGCGGCCCAGCCUGGGCAGGUUUCAGGGUGCCAGUGGGAAGCCUGAUGGGUGCUGGUGGCCUUUCCCCCGUGGAUUGGCCUCUGGGCCAGCCCAGCCUCUUCUCAGGGGCAGGGGGUGGAGGUUGAGGUCACCGGCCUGCUUGGCACCCCUAUCUGAAAGAGCAACACUUUUCAGCUAUUAAAGGCCCUCUGGAUAGA
rnacentral:sRNA from 1 species